GAUGAACGCUGGCGGCGUGCCUAAUACAUGCAAGUCGAGCGAACGGACGAGAAGCUUGCUUCUCUGAUGUUAGCGGCGGACGGGUGAGUAACACGUGGAUAACCUACCUAUAAGGCUGGGAUAACUUCGGGAAACCGGAGCUAAUACCGGAUAAUAUUUUGAACCGCAUGGUUCAAAAGUGAAAGACGGUCUUGCUGUCACUUAUAGAUGGAUCCGCGCUGCAUUAGCUAGUUGGUAAGGUAACGGCUUACCAAGGCAACGAUGCAUAGCCGACCUGAGAGGGUGAUCGGCCACACUGGAACUGAGACACGGUCCAGACUCCUACGGGAGGCAGCAGUAGGGAAUCUUCCGCAAUGGGCGAAAGCCUGACGGAGCAACGCCGCGUGAGUGAUGAAGGUCUUCGGAUCGUAAAACUCUGUUAUUAGGGAAGAACAUAUGUGUAAGUAACUGUGCACAUCUUGACGGUACCUAAUCAGAAAGCCACGGCUAACUACGUGCCAGCAGCCGCGGUAAUACGUAGGUGGCAAGCGUUAUCCGGAAUUAUUGGGCGUAAAGCGCGCGUAGGCGGUUUUUUAAGUCUGAUGUGAAAGCCCACGGCUCAACCGUGGAGGGUCAUUGGAAACUGGAAAACUUGAGUGCAGAAGAGGAAAGUGGAAUUCCAUGUGUAGCGGUGAAAUGCGCAGAGAUAUGGAGGAACACCAGUGGCGAAGGCGACUUUCUGGUCUGUAACUGACGCUGAUGUGCGAAAGCGUGGGGAUCAAACAGGAUUAGAUACCCUGGUAGUCCACGCCGUAAACGAUGAGUGCUAAGUGUUAGGGGGUUUCCGCCCCUUAGUGCUGCAGCUAACGCAUUAAGCACUCCGCCUGGGGAGUACGACCGCAAGGUUGAAACUCAAAGGAAUUGACGGGGACCCGCACAAGCGGUGGAGCAUGUGGUUUAAUUCGAAGCAACGCGAAGAACCUUACCAAAUCUUGACAUCCUUUGACAACUCUAGAGAUAGAGCCUUCCCCUUCGGGGGACAAAGUGACAGGUGGUGCAUGGUUGUCGUCAGCUCAUGUCGUGAGAUGUUGGGUUAAGUCCCGCAACGAGCGCAACCCUUAAGCUUAGUUGCCAUCAUUAAGUUGGGCACUCUAAGUUGACUGCCGGUGACAAACCGGAGGAAGGUGGGGAUGACGUCAAAUCAUCAUGCCCCUUAUGAUUUGGGCUACACACGUGCUACAAUGGACAAUACAAAGGGCAGCGAAACCGCGAGGUCAAGCAAAUCCCAUAAAGUUGUUCUCAGUUCGGAUUGUAGUCUGCAACUCGACUACAUGAAGCUGGAAUCGCUAGUAAUCGUAGAUCAGCAUGCUACGGUGAAUACGUUCCCGGGUCU
rnacentral:rRNA from 1 species